rnacentral:misc_RNA from 1 species
UCGAGCGUCAUUUCAACCAAUCAAGCCUCGGCUUGGUCUUGGGGUUUGCGGUCCCGCAUCCCCUAAACUCAGUGGCGGUGCGAUUGAGCUCUGAGCGUAGUAAUUUUUUCUCGCUAUAGGGUCUCAAUCGUGACUUGCUAGUAACCCCCCAUUUUUAUCAGGUUGACCUCGGAUCAGGUAGGGAUACCCGCUGAACUUAA